CCCCUUUUGAGGGGGUGCGAAAGCGCUUAUAUUGAAGGUGCUGGGCAACCAGCUAUGGCGAUAAACAGCGUAUGGAAUAAGCGUUGCGGACCCGGGGGCAGUACCCGGCGCCUCCACCAGUUUCGCGGAGCCAUCGUCUCCGCGCCGUCAUGGGGGCGAACUAGGAUCGACGCGCGUUGUAAAGGUACGUCUUUUGCCCGGCAUGGUACCGCCGUUAUCGGGCCAAAACCUAAGUGCGAACGAUAACUCUGUCGCACUCGCUGCUUAGUCUCUAAGUAAGCGCGGUCCGGGGGGCACCGGGCAACAGAAGCCCCCCACU
rnacentral:tmRNA from 1 species